AUUGAACGCUGGCGGCAUGCCUUACACAUGCAAGUCGAACGGCAGCACGGGGCAACCUGGUGGCGAGUGGCGAACGGGUGAGUAAUGUAUCGGAACGUGCCAUUGAGUGGGGGAUAACGUAGCGAAAGUUACGCUAAUACCGCAUAUACCCUGAGGGGGAAAGCAGGGGAUCGCAAGACCUUGUGCUCUUUGAGCGGCCGAUAUCAGAUUAGCUAGUUGGUGAGGUAAAGGCUCACCAAGGCGACGAUCUGUAGCGGGUCUGAGAGGAUGAUUCGCCACACUGGGACUGAGACACGGCCCAGACUCCUACGGUAGGCAGCAGUGGGGAAUUUUGGACAAUGGGCGCAAGCCUGAUCCAGCCAUGCCGCGUGAGUGAAGAAGGCCUUCGGGUUGUAAAGCUCUUUCGGCCGGGAAGAAAUCGUACAGGUUAAUACCCUGUGUGGAUGACGGUACCGGAAUAAGAAGCACCGGCUAACUACGUGCCAGCCGCCGCAGUAA
rnacentral:rRNA from 1 species